ensembl:lncRNA
GUGCUGAUGGGAACCACAAGCAAACCUUUAUUUAAGCUGUAAAAUAACAAGUCCAAACUGUCCAAGCAUGCGAACAGGCACAUCCUUAAAGUCACAGAGGACAUCAUCAUUAGUCCUCUGACUUCAGAGAAUCUCACCCUGGACUGCAGUCCAACAUCAGGCGCUCAGAUACCGGAGGGAGCAACAGAAACACUUUGGGUCGUGGCUGAUGUGGAAGCAGAGGUCAGGAGGAGCCACGACGCCUGGGCUUUUUCUGAUAGAAGAGAAAUGACGUUUUUAACUUUUGUUGAAUCAGUUUAAAUAUUUUCCUUCAUCGGUGGAAAUGUUGGAACCAAACUAAAUACUGUUUACGAGCAGCAGGCAGAGCAACAGGCCCGAGCUGCUGUGGAUUCUACCGCAUGAGUAACAGCACCAAAAACCUCUUUAAAUCCUUUUAUGUGCCAUCGGAGCCAUCCCCGCACCGUUUUAGUGGUUUUUACACACAGUAGUGAUUUUUUUACUGCAGGAUUACGUGUCAUGAUUUUGUAUAUUUGGUGUAUUUUGGAUGUGGAGUUCUUUCUGCUCUUUGUGGAUCAUUUCUCGACUGUCUGUAAAAGUUUCCAGUCAGGACAAUAAAACGCCUGAAUCCUGCACACAGGGAGACACAGGUGAUAAGAAUCAAGGCCAGGAGAGACUACCAAAAUAAAACAGGAAGUGAGCAGCAAUAACUACACAUGUGGGAAGUGACAAAAGAGCAAGAGACAGGAAGCACCGAGGUGAAAAUAUUCGGGGUCGCUCCAUUUCUUCUUGACCGUCAAAGUUUGAACAAAAAUGUUACGGUCCAAAGUUUGAGCGGCUAUAAUGUGCACGCUGAAAUUUUAGCUUCAUACAUCAAACACAUUGUACAGGGUGGGCCAUUUCUAUGGAUACAGUGUAACAACAUGGGAAUGGUUGGUGAUAUUAAAGUCCUGUUUGUGGCACAUUAGUAUAUGUGAGGGGCAAACUCCUCAAGAUGGGCGGCGACCAUGGUGGCCAUUUAGAAGUCGGCCAUCUUGGAUACAACUUUUGUUUUUUCUUUUUUUUUUUCUUUUUUUUUUCGCCUGUCCCAUUUGGUUCUUUAGCCAUCAGAAUUGUUGUCUGAAGACCAACAAGGAGACCCAAUGGAUUUACUUUGCCAAAUGGAUCAUCGUGGCAUUGCCGUAUUGGUCCAUUUGGUCGAUCUUUGUUUUUAUUAUUUAUUAUAUUUUAUUUUCAGAUGUUACAGACGGGACAGACAUGAGUGAGAGAUAGGAAAGGGAGAAAGAAAGAGGAAGGAAAGGAAAAACAGAAGGGGAGAGGGACAGUGAGAAAGGGGGGGAGAAAAAAAAUAAAAAUCUCCUGGAUCACCUGUUGAGAGAAGAAUAGAAAACAAGCAAAAAAAGACAAAAAAAACCAAAAAACAAAGCAACAUACUAAACACAACACCAUCGCAUUAAUCUAGCUAAGUGUAAACAGCAGUAAAUACUAAAUAUUCAAUGUUGUUGUGCAGCACGCAGGACAGAUGUGCUUCGAAGUAGCAGCCAAGAAAGGUGUAAUUUGGGUCUACGAGCAGUGAACACCCGUGUGUGCAUACCUGUGUGGAUCAGCGCGCUUGUAUUCCAAAGGUUUCUCCAUGUAACGAUCUGCUAGGGAGUGUGGGGGGGCCACAGCCCCGUCCUCCAGGGUGUGAAGCAGGUAUGGAGGAGAUCAAAACUCCAGACAUCCAGAGGCCCCCAGAACACAAGAGACCAAGGAAGACCCACAGAGGGGCAGCCGCGCCACUGUCCCAGAAAGAGCUGAGGAGAGUCCCAGAUGAGGGCUCACUCAGCAGCCGCGGAGCAGAAGCCAGGGGGGGUUGCAGUGACGCGCCCGUGAGCUCCGCCGGCAGCCAGCUGCACCUGAGUGACCGAGCCCCAGGCCGAGAGGCCGGGGGCACCCCACCCCCGAAGGGGCCCGAGCGAGCCCCAGGCUCCAGGCCCCGAUAAGCGGCCGCCAACUUUUGUUUUUUCAAUAGGAAGAGGGUCAUGUGACACAUCAAACUUCUUGCCAUUGACAUGUCGAAGAGGUUAACACGUGAGGAGCGGAAUCGUGUUGAUAUCUGGUGAACGCAGUAACCAGGUCAUUGCAGCAGAUUUCAAUGCAAGACACCCUACGUAAAGUAAUGGGAUUACUUUCUUGGAGAAGUAAUCAGUAACAAGUAACUGAUUACUAUUUUCAAGUCAUUUGACCAACACUGUUCAGCAGCAGAUUAAUGAGGCGUGACUGAUGUCAUCAGGACCUGCUUAUGUUCACAUCAGCUGAGUCGUUUAGACGUUUGUGUUUCAACUCCAAACGUCCAAAAUCAGAAGAACUAAAACGUUCGAGGUGUUUGAAAGAUCUGAAUUAAAACUGUUCAAUCAUUUCACCUUAAAAUGAUUCUUUGUUUUACAUACAUGGAAUUCUAUGAUAAAGCAUUUAGAAAUCAUCACUGUUCGUCUUUUGCACCGCACAUUUUUCAUCCGUGUUUUUUCAUAUUUAACCCGUCAGCACAAACUUUGGGCCCCGG